rnacentral:rRNA from 1 species
UACGUAGGGGGCUAGCGUUGUCCGGAAUCAUUGGGCGUAAAGCGCGUGUAGGCGGUUCGGUAAGUCCGCUGUGAAAGUCGGGGGCUCAACCCUCGAAAGCCGGUGGAUACUGUCGGACUAGAGUGCGGAAGAGGCGAGUGGAAUUCCUGGUGUAGCGGUGAAAUGCGCAGAGUAUCGGGAGGAACACCAAGGACGAAGGUACCUACCUGGCAGUAUCUGACACUCAAGUGCGACAGCGUGGGGAGCGAACCGG